GAUGAACGCUAGCGACAGGCUUAACACAUGCAAGUCGAGGGGCAGCAUAAAAGUAGCAAUACUUUGGUGGCGACCGGCGCACGGGUGAGUAACGCGUAUGCAACCUACCUAUCAGAGGGGAAUAACCCGGCGAAAGUCGGACUAAUACCGCAUAAAACAGGGGCACCGCAUGGUGAUAUUUGUUAAAGAAAUUCGCUGAUAGAUGGGCAUGCGUUCCAUUAGGUAGUUGGUGAGGUAACGGCUCACCAAGCCGACGAUGGAUAGGGGAACUGAGAGGUUGGUCCCCCANACUGGUACUGAGACACGGACCAGACUCCUACGGGAGGCAGCAGUGAGGAAUAUUGGUCAAUGGGCGAGAGCCUGAACCAGCCAAGUCGCGUGAAGGAAGAAGGAUCUAUGGUUCGUAAACUUCUUUUGCAGGGGAAUAAAGUGCGGGACGUGUCCUGUUUUGUAUGUACCCUGAGAAUAAGGAUCGGCUAACUCCGUGCCAGCAGCCGCGGUAA
rnacentral:rRNA from 1 species